rnacentral:rRNA from 1 species
GAUGAACGCUGGCGGCGUGCCUAAUACAUGCAAGUCGAGCGAACGGACGAGAAGCUUGCUUCUCUGAUGUUAGCGGCGGACGGGUGAGUAACACGUGGAUAACCUACCUAUAAGACUGGGAUAACUUCGGGAAACCGGAGCUAAUACCGGAUAAUAUUUUGAACCGCAGGGUUCAAAAGUGAAAGACGGUCUUGCUGUCACUUAUAGAUGGAUCCGCGCUGCAUUAGCUAGUUGGUAAGGUAACGGCUUACCAAGGCAACGAUGCAUAGCCGACCUGAGAGGGUGAUCGGCCACACUGGAACUGAGACACGGUCCAGACUCCUACGGGAGGCAGCAGUAGGGAAUCUUGCACAAUGGGCGAAAGCCUGACGGAGCAAUGCCGCGUGAGUGAUGAAGGUCUUCGGAUCGUAAAACUCUGUUAUUAGGGAAGAACAUAUGUGUAAGUAACUGUGCACAUCUUGACGGUACCUUAACAGAAAGCCACGGCUAACUACGUG